rnacentral:rRNA from 1 species
CAUGUAGGCGGCUGUCUAAGUCUGAUGUGAAAGCCCGGGGCUCAACCCCGGAAGUGCAUUGGAUACUGGGCAGCUUGAGUAUGGGAGAGGAAAGUGGAAUUCCGAGUGUAGGGGUGAAAUCCGUAGAUAUUCGGAGGAACACCAGUGGCGAAGGCGGCUUUCUGGACCAAUACUGACGCUGAGAUGCGAAAGCGUGGGGAGCAAACAGGAUUAGAUACCCUGGUAGUCC